rnacentral:rRNA from 1 species
AGCAGCCGCGGUAAUUCCAGCUCCAAUAGCGUAUAUUAAAGUUGUUGCAGUUAAAAAGCUCGUAGUUGAAUUUCGGGAUCAAUGUUUCGGUCAUGCCGUUGGUAUGUACUGAUAUUAUUGGUUUCUCACCUUCUAAAGAACCGUAAUGCCAUUAAUUUGGUGUCACGGGGAAUUAGGACUGUUACCUUGAAAAAAUUAGAGUGUUUAAAGCAGGCUCACGCUUGAAUACAUUAGCAUGGAAUAAUGAAAUAGGACAUCCGAUUCUAUUUUGUUGGUUUCUAGGAUCGAUGUAAUGAUUAAUAGGGAUAGUUGGGGGCAUUAGUAUUCAAUUGUCAGAGGUGAAAUUCUUGGAUUUAUUGAAGACUAACUACUGCGAAAGCAUUUGCCAAGGAUGUUUUCAUUAAUCAAGAACGAAAGUUAGGGGAUCGAAGACGAUCAGAUACCGUCGUAGUCUUAACCAUAAACUAUGCCGACUAGGGAUCGGAUGAUGUUAAUUUUUUAAUGACUCAUUCGGCGCCUUACG